rnacentral:lncRNA from 1 species
AUAUUUAGAUGUGUAUUCAGAUUCAGACGUCUUAAUCUUAAAAAAACAAAUGAGGCCUUAGAUAGUUUGAGCAUGUAAAGAGGAGAAGCGCAUAUGCCCCAGUAAGGAGGUGUGAUAUGUUGGCAUCGGUGGGUCUAAAGAGAGGUAGAGGCAACCUAAGAAGUAUUGAGGAGAGGUGAUUUGGCAGGAUAUGACAUUGCUUCAGCUUACCGAUGACACAACCCUUGAUAGGAAGGCACGGAGGAAGAGAAUUAAGGGUUACUACAUGCUAUUCUUGCCGCAAUGUUUUCUUAUUACCUUGUUGAUUGUUACUAUUUGAUGUUACUGCUUUCUUUUUAUCUUUCCUUAUCUGAGCGUCUAUCGAAAAUAAUCUCUAACUUCAAGAUAGGAGUAAGAUCUGCGUACACACUACACUCUCCAUACUCCAUAUGUGGGAUUAUACUAAAUUUAUUGUUGUUUGUAUAUAUGGAUUCGAGAUGUUUGUUGGUCUUUCGAAACAACGUUUUCCCAUUUCAUUGUAGGUUUACCUCGUCUAUGUUUUAACACUUUUCACACCUAUGAAUCAAUGUGUGUGCAGGUCAACGUAGGACAUGUUCAAACCAUCUCAAGUGAACUCUUCACACUUUAUCCUCAUCGUAUGCUCAACUUUUGCAAACGUGAUUAUUUUAAUCUAAUUAAUCUUGUACGACUGCUAAUACAUCUUAAUAUCCACAAAUUUGCGACAAUCAUCUUGUGAAUAUGAUGGACUUUAACAUCUCAGCAUUCACUCUCAUAUAACAUUUCUAAGUAUCCUUCAAUACCUUGAUUACACUUUUCUAUCUCAAAUUUUCAACUAUUUCAUUUUUGAUUCUAUGUGUAACAUCUUUAUGUAUCGCACCGAAAUAGCAAAAGUAAAGUCUUUGAUGCUUACAAUACUUUCUAGGAUAAUUUUUCUGGUUAUAUGUAUCUGAUGACAACAGUAGCGGUUGAUCUCUGAAAUUGAUUACCUGAGAAGGGUCAGGGCCAUGUCAUGAAGUUAUCCUUGCCCUUCUGUGCAUGAAACCGAAUGACUUAAUUAGCCACAUAAUUGGGGUUUAGUACAUCUAUAUCUUGUACACAAUUAUAUUUGUAGGUCCACUCUGUUCUCCUCGGUCUUAUAUUAGUGACAUCUCGUUGCCGUUCUUGAGCAUUGAAGGUCUUCCUUGCAGGCCUUAAUUAUGCAGACCAGUGGACUGCCUUUUCUUUUUUCUUCCAAUUGUUUUGAAUUCUUGUUUUUCUUUAGUUAUUUUAUUAUUUGAAUACUCCAUAUAUAAAGGGACUACCCAACCUAACCAAAAAGAUCACAUGAACAUAUGCCAUAGAUUUAGUUGCAGCACCGAAGUCAUCAAUGUCCAUGAAUCUUGUGGAAGUCCAUUAUUUCACACUUUGGAUUUUCUCUAAUCUUGAUCUGCCUUGUAUAACGGACAGUCAAAUUGCUUGAUUUGAAUGAAAUGUUUUGUUUUCUAGUUUGACUUCUCUUUUUGGAUUAUUAAGCUUUGAACCAAGGUGUUCACACUUGACUAGGAUUACUUGAAUAGAUGUGGUUGAGCCACUCAGUCAAUUUGUAUAUAACUUUAAAACAUUUUUGUAUGCUACUUAUGGAAUGAGACCGAGUUAUCCAAAAAAGAACCGAGGGGUUCAAAAUAUAGACUCUAGAUUCUAACUUAAACUAAUAAUUCACAUAAUU